rnacentral:rRNA from 1 species
UACGUAGGGUGCAAGCGUUGUCCGGAAUUAUUGGGCGUAAAGAGCUCGUAGGCGGUUUGUCGCGUCUGCUGUGAAAACCCGAGGCUCAACCUCGGGCCUGCAGUGGGUACGGGCAGACUAGAGUGCGGUAGGGGGAGAUUGGAAUUCCUGGUGUAGCGGUGGAAUGCGCAGAUAUCAGGAGGAACACCAAUGGCGAAGGCAGAUCUCUGGGCCGUAACUGACGCUGAGGAGCGAAAGCAUGGGGGAGCGAACAGG